CUGGUUGAUCCUGCCAGUAGUCACAUGCUUGUCUCAGAGAUUAAGCCAUGCAUGUCUAAGUACAUACCUUAAAACAGUGAAACUGCGAAUGGCUCAUUAAAUCAGCUAUGGUUCCUUCGAUCAUAUAUACUAAAUGGAUAACUGUAAUAGUUCUCGAGCUAAUACAUGCAAUUAUGCCCUGACCCACAAGGGGACGAGUGCAUUUAUUAUUCGUGAACCAAUCAUCCCCCAGCCCAUUCCAAUGAUCCACCAGUUAUAAUUUGUAUGUGACUAGUGACAUCGACCAGACUAGUAAUGAGGACAAAUACUAGUCGAUAACACUGGCUAGCAGUUGUACGUUAUAUCCCAACUUGACAUAAUUUUAAAUCCAUGGACCGCUGCAUUCUGUGCCACUGGCUGAAGAUUGUGUGUUCUAUUUUUGAUAGACUCAUCCAUGCGUAAUACUGAAGCAAUUCAAGAAAGGACGAAACAAUUGAUCACUAACCCUUGCUAGUUUCCAUC
rnacentral:ncRNA from 1 species